rnacentral:rRNA from 1 species
GCAUAUCAAUAAGCGGAGGAAAAGAAACCAACAGGGAUUGCCUCAGUAACGGCUCAGUGAAGCGGCAACAGCUCAAAUUUGAAAUCUGGCCUCUUUGGGGUCCGAGUUGUAAUUUGUAGAGGAUGUUUCGGGUACCGCUCCGGUUUAAAUUUCUUGGAACAGAAUGUCAGAGAGGGUGAGAAUCCCGUCUUGGACCGGUGGUAGGACCUAUGUGAAACUCCUUCGACGAGUCGAGUUGUUUGGGAAUGCAGCUCAAAAUGGGUGGUAAAUUUCAUCUAAAGCUAAAUAUUGGCCAGAGACCGAUAGCGCACAAGUAGAGUGAUCGAAAGAUGAAAAGCACUUUGAAAAGAGAGUUAAACAGUAUGUGAAAUUGUUGAAAGGGAAGCGCUUACAACCAGACUUGAGCGCGACGGUUCCCCCUUCCUUUUGGUUGGGUUACUCCGUCGUGUCCAGGCCAACAUCGGUUUCGGGGGUUGGUUAAAGGCGCCUUGAAUGUAUCUACCCUUCGGGCGUAGACUUAUAGCUCGGCGUGUCAUGCGACCUCCCGGGACCGAGGAACGCGCUUCGGCUCGGAUGUUGGCGUAAUGGUUGUCAGCGACCCGUCUUGAAACACGGACCAAGGAGUCUAACAUCUAUGCGAGUGUUUGGGUGUCAAACCCGGAACGCGAAAUGAAAGUGAACGGAGGUAGGAAGCCUUAGGCUGCACUAUCGACCGAUCCUGAUGUCUUCGGAUGGAUUUGAGUAAGAGCAUAGCUGUUGGGACCCGAAAGAUGGUGAACUAUGCCUGAAUAGGGUGAAGCCAGAGGAAACUCUGGUGGAGGCUCGCAGCGGUUCUGACGUGCAAAUCGAUCGUCAAAUUUGGGUAUAGGGGCGAAAGACUAAUCGAACCAUCUGGUAGCUGGUUCCUGCCGAA